rnacentral:rRNA from 1 species
AUGAACGCUGGCGGCGUGCCUAAUCCAUGCAAGUCGAGCGAACAGACGAGGAGCUUGCUCCUCUGACGUUAGCGGCGGACGGGUGAGUAACACGUGGAUAACCUACCUAUAAGACUGGGAUAACUUCGGGAAACCGGAGCUAAUACCGGAUAAUAUAUUGAACCGCAUGGUUCAAUAGUGAAAGACGGUUUUGCUGUCACUUAUAGAUGGAUCCGCGCCGCAUUAGCUAGUUGGUAAGGUAACGGCUUACUAAGGCAACGAGGCGUAGCCGACCUGAGAGGGUGAUCGGCCACACUAGAACGGAGACACGGUCCAGACUCCUACGGGAGGCAGCAGUAGGGAAUCUUCCGCAAUGGGCGAAAGCCUGACGGAGCAACGCCGCGUGAGUGAUGAAGGUCUUCGGAUCGUAAAACUCUGUUAUUAGGGAAGAACAAAUGUGUAAGUAACUAUGCACGUCUUGACGGUACCUAAUCAGAAAGCCACGGCUAACUACGUG